UACGGAGGGUGCGAGCGUUGUUCGGAAUCACUGGGCGUAAAGCGCGUGUAGGCGGCCCACUAAGUCUGAUGUGAAAGCCCGGGGCUCACCCCCGGAAGUGCAUUGGAAACUGGUGGACUCGAGUCCCGGAGAGGAGAGUGGAAUUCCUGGUGUAGCGGUGAAAUGCGUAGAUAUCGGGAGGAACACCAAUGGCGAAGGCAGCUUGCUGGGACGGUACUGACGCUGAGGCGCGAAAGCGUGGGGAGCAAACAGG
rnacentral:rRNA from 1 species